rnacentral:rRNA from 1 species
CACGUAGGGUGCGAGCGUUGUCCGGAAUUAUUGGGCGUAAAGAGCUCGUAGGCGGCGUGUCGAGUCGGCCGUGAAAACCUGCAGCUUAACUGUGGGCGUGCGGUCGAUACGGGCAUGACUGGAGUUCGGCAGGGGAGACUGGAAUUCCUGGUGUAGCGGUGAAAUGCGCAGAUAUCAGGAGGAACACCGGUGGCGAAGGCGGGUCUCUGGGCCGAUACUGACGCUGAGGAGCGAAAGCGUGGGGAGCGAACAGG